AAAGCAGGCUGCAAUUACAGUGCUCCAUUCUGUGGGAGCACUGCCAUUGUCCUGCUGAGAGCAGCUCUUGUUAAAACUGUCUAUGGUUUCACCUGUACAGUGGGGAAACUGUUGGUUCUUAACAAGUACAUGG
rfam:Colius striatus contig72110, whole genome shotgun sequence.